rnacentral:lncRNA from 1 species
GCAUCACAAUACCAGCAUUUAUUCUCGUAAUUAGAAAUGACUUGGGCUAUUCGAGACAUAAGUGAACACAAUUUCAAAAUAACUCAAGAAGGCUUAAAAACACAAAUUUUUUUAAAUAUGAUGAAAUAACUCAAAUAUCUAAAAAUUACUUGCACAGGAAAAGAUUGUUGAAUUCAAAACUUAUUAAAAAUUUGUACUACCUAUAACUAAACAUGCUUGAUUCUAUAGCAUAUUUAGCCAUAUAACAGCCAUCCAAGUCAACGAAUCCAGUUUCAACUAUAACAACCUUUUCAUAAACAACAUACUCCCAUGAUUUGAGUUUAUAAACACCUUAGAGAUCCAAAACAAAUUGUCCCUUCCAGUAGUAAAAGAAUUUGAAGGACUGAAUGCAUGGGAAUCAGUAAUUCUAAUAAUAACUCUAUUACAAUUCCAAUGUGAGACUCAAAAGAAACAUAAUUUCAUAUUAAGCAUGGUAAGCUAAAGGAAUUAACAUAACCGUUGGAGAAAGUAUACUAAGUAAGAGCAAAAUUUAACACCCAGUAAAAGAGAAUAGGACCUUCAUGUAUAUCCAUCAAGAACACUUCCAAAGCCAUUUUACAUGCCUAAAGUUAAAGUGUGUACCUGGAAAAAUGAAAUAAGGAAGGAGGAGAAAUUAAGCAAUAGACAACAGCAGGAAUAAUGUUCUCCAGCCAAAUCAACCCAGAAAUAACCAAGGAAAACCCACUUUAAACCGCAUUUGAACCAGUAAUAGUAUAAAAUAAAUCCAGUAAUAAGAAACACAACCAAAACCUGAAUCAAAUACUUGAAUACCGACCAAAAUUCAACUUAUUUUUACCCGCUAGUUGUUCAGGAAUUGUUUCAGAAGUGAGAACCUUUAAAGAUCACCAAAUUUCUCAAUGGAACAAUAUUGUUUAACUAUUUUCAACUGUUUUUGAUUUUUUAGGAUUUCUUCCAUCUUAAAUCUGAUUUCAACCUUUCUUAGCUAUGACUUUAUAGGCAAGUUAC